CCUACGGGUGGCAGCAGUCGGGAAUAUUGCACAAUGGAGGAAACUCUGAUGCAGUGACGCCGCGUGCAGGAAGAAGGUUUUCGGAUUGUAAACUGCUUUAGACCGGGAAGAAACAAGACAGUACCUGUAGAAUAAGCUCCGGCUAACUACGUGCCAGCAGCCGCGGUAAUACGUAGGGAGCAAGCGUUAUCCGGAUUGAUUGGGUGUAAAGGGUGCGUAGACGGGAAUGUAAGUUCGUUGGGAAAUCCCUCGGCCUAAAUGAGGAACUGCAACUAAAACGGAAUUUCUUGUGUGCGGGAGAGGAAAGUGGAAUUCCUAGUGUAGCGGUGAAAUGCGUAGAUAGUAGGAGGAACACCAGUGGCGAAGGCGACUUUCUGGACCGUAACUGACGUUGAGGCACGAAAGUGUGGGGAGCAAACAGGAUUAGAUACCCCAGUAGUC
rnacentral:rRNA from 1 species